GUCUACAGACAUGCCACCCUGAACAUGCCUGAUCUCGUCUGAUCUCAGACGCUAAGCAGGGUCAGGCCUGGUUAGUAAGUACUUGGAUGGCAGACCACCUAGGAAUACCAGGUGCUAUAAGCG
rnacentral:rRNA from 1 species